rnacentral:lncRNA from 1 species
AACAAGGGUACUGCGAAGACACACCCCCUUCCUCUAGCGCCAAUCCUGUUGGUGCAAAAAUCCGCCGGCUUCAGAGAAGCUGGAGUCGAGGGAGUCGCGGUCACUGUCGGGACCGGCAAGGGAAGUCUAAAUCGGAGUUGGGGGUGCUCCGGCAAGACCCUCUGACGCUCAAGUCAGUUCUCUGCCUCAACAAGAAUGGAGUGCUCGAACGGAAAUUUCAGCAGAGUUUUGAGAUAGAAAUUAGAGCUUAGAGAAUAAUGUAUCUGGGAUCCCUUUUUUAUAGACGGAGGGUGCAAU